UUGGCUUAGAAGCAGCCACUCAUUCAAAGAGUGCGUAAUAGCUCACUGGUCGAGUGAUCCUGCGCCGAAGAUUUCCGGGGCUAAAACUUACUACCGAAGCUACGGCAUCAGUAAUGAUGGGUAGGGGAGCUUCCCAUACGGGUUGAAGCAUGACCGUAAGGACAUGUGGACAGGAUGGGAGUGAGAAUGUUGGCAUGAGUAGCGAGAUGUGGGUGGGAAUCCCACAGGCCGUAAACCCAAGGUUUCCAGGGGAAGGUUCGUCCGCCCUGGGUUAGUCGGGACCUAAGCUGAGGCCGAAAGGCGUAGGUGAUGGACAACAGGUUGAUAUUCCUGUACUACCGAU
rnacentral:rRNA from 1 species